AAAACUAAAGCGUCUCCUUUUUGAAAUUGUGACCUUCCGAGGCGUGAAACUACCGGACGAGGCGUCAAAGCAGGCAACACAAAGCACAUGUGUACGAGCCGAGCAGCUGCCCGCCAUGCGCGGAAGACGCCGAGCGGAGGUGUGGAAUGGAUUCGAUGCGCCCCGGUCGUCCUUAGGACAGCGUUGUCUUCGAGGUCCACGCAUGAACCGGGGCGGAUGAGAGCACAGCUGUUGUGACAUAAAUUUCUCCAAGGAAUGCCUGAGUUGGAGUCUAAAAGAGCAUGACCACAGAUGACAAAUGGGUGGUCGGGAGGACUGUUUGUGGUCGUGUGAAAAGACACGUUGAAGUGAGAAGAAGAGCGUUGCAGGGAGUGUCAGAGCUGUUUACAGCAGAGCAUAAAUGAAAUUGCACCCCAGAAGAAGCAGAGUAGGUGUGACCGUGUUCUUGAUGGCCCAACACGGCUUCAUGAAGAUGAAAUAUGAUCCCGAACGGAGGAGCGAUGGCGUCAAAACAAAGGCACGAAUGCACACGCACGAAAGGAAACACAAGCUCGGACAUAUUCAGGCGGCGAGCUGCAGUUAGAUUUAUGGAGCAGGAUUGGGAGGAAGAUUUAAUACUUCAAACACACCUGGGAAGUAGACCAAGGAGGCCUGUAGGGAACACAAAGGCCAGCAUUGUGCGCUCGGGCAAGCAGGUGAGCACAAAUUAUUCGUUAGAUUAAAAAUCAUUUGUCAUCCAUCAACAACGAAAUGUCCGCUUGGGACU